AUUGAACGCUGGCGGCAGGCCUAACACAUGCAAGUCGAACGAGUGGCGGACGGGUGAGAAAUGUCUGGGAAACUGCCUGUGGGAUGGGGAUAACUACUGGAAACGGUAGCCAAAACCGCAUACCAUCGGAUGUGCCCAGAUGGGAUGAGCUAGUAGGUGGGGUAAAGGCUCACCUAGGCGACGAUCCCUAGCUGGUCGGAGAGGAUGACCAGCCACACUGGAACUGAGACACGGCCCAGACUCCUACGGGAGGCAGCAGUGGGGAAUAUUGCACAAUGGGCGAAAGCCUGAUGCAGCCAUGCCGCGUGUAUGAAGAAGGCCUUCGGGUUGUAAAGUACUUUCAGCGGGGAGGCGUUACCCGCAGAAGAAGCACCGGCUAACUACGUGCCAGCAGCCGCGGUAAUAC
rnacentral:rRNA from 1 species